AGAGUUUCAGAAUUUGGCAAAGGUCUCAAGGCUCAAGCUGGUUGUCUGUAGCCUUUCAAACGCCCAGCUUUAUCACCACAUAUGAGACUUCGUCACCCCUACAGCCUGGUGUUGGAUCCAAUCACCCCAACAACUGGAAUACAGAAGGGAAUAAGAAGAAGAUUCCUUCCUAAUUGCUAGCUUCUGUUAGCGUAGCUGAUGCCAUGACCCCAGCUGCCAGCUCUCAGUCUUCACCUGAACCAGGUGGCACCCCUUUGAGAAACAGUGCUACCCUUCACCUCCUUCACCUGCCAAUCUGGGCUUCCUCUAUGGAGGUCCCAACACCCAUGGGUCUGUGUCCUUUUCUCAGAGGUCCCAGCACCAGACACAGGACUCCUCUUCUCGGUGGUACAACCAGCAGCUUCCAGGCCCUGCCACAUAUACAGAGCUUGGGGAUCAGCUAUAGAGAGCCAAUCCCCUGGGAACCCAUUAGUCCAAGGGGGCCUCUCCUCCAAGUGCCUACAUUCUGGAAAAGGCUUCACCUCUAUUUUCUACAGUCAUGAUACCUGGGUAACUCAGUGCUCCCUUUGGAUUUUUCUUAGCUCUUCAACACCUAUGUAAAUCUGCAUGAAGCCUCCACUGUUUGAAUACAGUGUGAUUCCCUGCUGAGCCCUAACUGAUAACACUGUGUUUCCAGUGUCCCUCAUCCACUAGACGCAGUGGUAUCAGGAAUGGUGUGGUAUUUUGUUAUAAAUUAAUUUAAUUCCUUAGAUGGACACGCAGAGAGCCUCAAUAAAUAUUUUUAAUCUAUCAAUGCAAGGAAUGUGGUUGUCGGAAGUCAGCCAAAAGUACAAGUUUAAAUCUAAGCCCUGCCAUUCACAACUUGGGUGACCUCAGCUUCUUUUUUGGAAAUGACGUUCAUAUUUUCCAAGCACUUUUUCUGUGCCAGGUGCUUCCAAAUGUAUCUCAUUUAAUCCUCACAACAUACCUCAGAGGAAGACAUUAUUUUUACAAGUAAGGAAAUAGAGGCUCAGAGAGAUGAAGUGGUUGACUCGUGCUGUCUAUCUUGUAAAUGGUGGGCUGUGAUUCCCACACCACUGGAGUUUCUGGAGUCAGGGGCUGCCUGGACUCAGGGGCUGCCUGACUCCAGAAACCAUUUUCUGUGCAUUUCCUGUACCCCCACCUCAAUUGCUUUUCUUUCCUCAUCUGUGGACUGAUUAAAUAAAAUGUAUCAUUUGGAUGAAA